rfam:Loxodonta africana unplaced genomic scaffold scaffold_318, whole genome shotgun sequence.
CGGGGUAUACCUCAGUGGAAGAGUGCGUGCUUAGCAUGCAAGAGGUCCUGGGUCCGAUCCCUAGUACCUCCA